rnacentral:rRNA from 1 species
UGGGGAAUAUUGCACAAUGGGCGCAAGCCUGAUGCAGCCAUGCCGCGUGUGUGAAGAAGGCCUUCGGGUUGUAAAGCACUUUCAGCGGGGAGGAAGGCGGUGAGGUUAAUAACCUCAUCGAUUGACGUUACCCGCAGAAGAAGCACCGGCUAACUCCGUGCCAGCAGCCGCGGUAAUACGGAGGGUGCAAGCGUUAAUCGGAAUUACUGGGCGUAAAGCGCACGCAGGCGGUCUGUCAAGUCGGAUGUGAAAUCCCCGGGCUCAACCUGGGAACUGCAUCUGAUACUGGCAAGCUUGAGUCUCGUAGAGGGGGGUAGAAUUCCAGGUGUAGCGAUGAAAUGCGUAGAGAUCUGGAGGAAUACCGGUGGCGAAGGCGGCCCCCUGGACGAAGACUGACGCUCAGGUGCGAAAGCGUGGGGAGCAAACAGG